UAAAGCUCCCUUCGGGGAGUGCAUAAAGUGGCGCACGGGUGAGUAACACGUAAGUAAUCUACCCUCGGGUGGGGAAUAACAUCGGGAAACCGAUGCUAAUACCGCAUAAUGCAGCGGCACCGCANGGUGACAGUUGUUAAAGAUUUAUUGCCUGGGGAGGAGCUUGCGGCAGAUUAGCUUGUUGGUAAGGUAACGGCUUACCAAGGCUACGAUCUGUAUCCGGUCUAAGAGGACGGUCGGACACACUGACACUGAAUAACGGGUCAGACUCCUACGGGAGGCAGCAGUCGGGAAUUUUGGGCAAUGGGGGAAACCCUGACCCAGCAACGCCGCGUGAAGGAUGAAGUAUUUCGGUAUGUAAACUUCGAAAGAAUAGGAAGAAUUAAUGACGGUACUAUUUAUAAGGUCCGGCUAACUACGUGCCAGCAGCCGCGGUAAUACGUAGGGACCAAGCGUUGUUCGGAUUUACUGGGCGUAAAGGGCGCGUAGGCGGCGCGGUAAGUCACUUGUGAAAUCUCUGAGCUUAACUCAGAACGGCCAAGUGAUACUGCAAUGCUAGAGUGUGGAAGGGGCAAUCGGAAUUCUUGGUGUAGCGGUGAAAUGCGUAGAUAUCAAGAGGAACACCUGAGGUGAAGACGGGUUGCUGGGCCAACACUGACGCUGAUGCGCGAAAGCCAGGGGAGCAAACGGGAUUA
rnacentral:rRNA from 1 species